ACACGACUACAUUAGAUACCCGCGUAGUCCCAGCCCUAAACGAUGCGCGUUAGGUGUACCGGUGACCACGAGUCACCGAGGUGCCGAAGGGAAACCGUGAAACGUGCCGCCUGGGAAGUACGGUCGCAAGGCUGAAACUUAAAGGAAUUGGCGGGGGAGCACCACAACGGGUGGAGCUUGCGGUUUAAUUGGAUUCAACGCCGGAAAUCUUACCGGGACCGACAGCAACAUGAAGGCCAGGCUGAAGACUUUGCCGGAUUAGCUG
rnacentral:rRNA from 1 species